AUUGAACGCUGGCGGCAGGCCUAACACAUGCAAGUCGAGCGGAUGAAGGGAGCUUGCUCCUGGAUUCAGCGGCGGACGGGUGAGUAAUGCCUAGGAAUCUGCCUGGUAGUGGGGGAUAACGUCCGGAAACGGGCGCUAAUACCGCAUACGUCCUGCGGGAGAAAGUGGGGGAUCUUCGGACCUCACGCUAUCAGAUGAGCCUAGGUCGGAUUGGCUAGUUGGUGGGGUAAAGGCCUACCAAGGCGACGUUCCGUAACUGGUCUGAGAGGAUGAUCAGUCACACUGGAACUGAGACACGGUCCAGACUCCUACGGGAGGCAGCAGUGGGGAAUAUUGGACAAUGGGCGAAAGCCUGAGCCAGCCAUGCCGCGUGUGUGAAGAAGGUCUUCGGAUUGUAAAGCACUUUAAGUGGGGAGGAAGGGCAGUAAGUUAAUACCUUGCUGUUUUGACGUUACCAACAGAAUAAGCACCGGCUAACUUCGUG
rnacentral:rRNA from 1 species